UACAGAGGUCCCAAGCGUUGUUCGGAUUCACUGGGCGUAAAGGGUGCGUAGGUGGUUAGGUAAGUCCGAUGUGAAAUCUCCAGGCUCAACCUGGAAAUGGCAUUGGAUACUAUUUAGCUUGAGGAGUGGAGGGGGGACUGGAAUUCUCGGUGUAGCAGUGAAAUGCGUAGAGAUCGUGAGGAAGACCAGUGGCGAAGGCGGGUCUCUGGACAGUUCCUGACACUGAGGCACGAAGGCCAGGGGAGCAAACGGG
rnacentral:rRNA from 1 species